CCACUAGAGGGCGACAUCAUCCAGUAGGCGGUGCACUACUUCUGCUCUGUGUUCAACCAUUCUGUCAAUAAUAACUGCUGCUGUGAAGAGAACAACUCUCACACUGAAUGUUGAACAGCAGCUAGUUUCUCCUGUUCAUUUAAACCUUGUUGCAGAGAUGGAACAUCGGCUGUGGAUUAUUCUUGCUGCUCUGUUCUGUGAGUGUAAAGGAGCAGACAGAGUGAUCCAGCCAACAGGAGAUGUCAUUGCUGCUGAAGGAGACACAGUUACACUGGACUGCACAUUUGAGACCAGUGACUCAAAUCCAACUUUGUUCUGGUACAAACAGGAUGGAAACAGCAGCCCAAAAUUCAUGCUGAACCGUCCUAAGUUUGGUACAGGGAACACAGAGAAGGAAUAUGAGGAGAGAUUUUCAUCCACACUGGAUUCUACCUCAAACUCAGUUCCUCUGAAGAUCCAGAAGCUUCAGCUGUCUGACUCUGCUGUGUACUACUGUGCUGUGAGGCCCACAGUGACAGGAAACACCAAAACUCUGUACAAAAACCUUUGGAGCAAAGACAACACAAUACUCCACAACAUCCACUAGAGGGAGUCACACACCAUGAACCCAUUACAGUCUGAGCCAGUGUCACUGGACUGAUGACAAAUACAACAAAACAUCAACCAAUAAAGAUUCCACACAGAGCUGCUGUGACAACAGACAGAAAUGGAUUGGUUGAGUUGAAGUGAAUAAAUAAUGUGAAGAGCUGAUUGGCCCCGCCCAUUUAGCCUCAACUCAACCAAUGACAUCAUUCCUUCCUCACUGUGCUGCAGUGGAAGAACACUGCUCAUCUGCUGUCUGUCUGGCUUUAAGAAAUCCAAAGACAUGUUGCUUUACUUCUUUUUACUCUUCUGUCACUUUACAGGUGAGUUUUGGAACACAACAGGAAUUUAAGUUGUGUUGAACCUGCUGCAUUAACCACAUAUACACAACCUGGAUUUCAUCACUUUUCUCAUGUCUUUGCUCUGACAGAGUCAAUGCUGCUCAUGUUUUCAUCAGAUUGACAACAUGGAUGUUGAUUGAAUGAUAUUGUUUGUAUGUGACUGUGAAGGAGCACAGAGUAACACUGUACACUUGAUAUUUUCCACUGUCUUCUCCUCUCAGCCUCAUGAACAAUGUUAGUCUAAUGGCUUCAUUUUCUACAC